GAGCAAGCGAUGAUCAACAAAAUAGUUCCUCGUUCUGACUUAUUUAAUUUGGACAUGACAAACCUUUUAUUGCACCCAUAGAAUUUGAGCUAC
rnacentral:snoRNA from 1 species